GAGCUUAAUCAACAUCUUUUUAAAAGUAUUUAUAUUAAUCUCAAUAAACACAUAAUUCCUUAAAUCUCUUUUUUUUAUUAUUGUCUAUUACCGUGUUUCUUUUGACAUUCGUUAAUGCUUGCUAAUUUUUGAAUGCUUAUGUUGUUUAUAGAAUUCCAACAUGCAGAAACUGCUGCUCUAAUGUCAUAGUGCUCUCAUGUGAUUGGUGCCAUUAAUGCCUUUCUGUGCUUUUCUUAUU
rnacentral:lncRNA from 1 species